UACGGAGGUCUCAAGCGUUGUUCGGAUUCAUUGGGCGUAAAGGGCUCGUAGGCGGUUUGUCGCGUCGGGAGUGAAAUCCACUGGCUUAACUGGUGGCUUGCUUUCGAUACGGGCAGACUGGAGGUAUGCAGGGGAGAACGGAAUUCCUGGUGUAGCGGUGAAAUGCGCAGAUAUCAGGAGGAACACCGGUGGCGAAGGCGGUUCUCUGGGCAUGGCCUGACGCUGAGGAGCGAAAGUGUGGGGAGUGAACAGG
rnacentral:rRNA from 1 species